CACAGCCAAAAAUCCACGGGUCCGUUUCAGGCCGUUAGUUGAAAACGGGCCGUUACGGGCCCGUGAACGGCCUGUAUACAGGAUGUAGCCCACCCACGUCCUGUAUACAGGCCGUUCUCACAGGCUGUAAACAGGACGUUAGCCCACGUCCUGUUUACAGCCCGUGGAUACAGGCCUGUAUUAGGGCGUAGCACCCACGUCCUGUAUACGGGCUGUUGCAGCUGUGUAGCUUAUGCGCAUGCGCUAGCUUGGGGCAGGAUGACGUCACCUGACUACAAAAAGAUAAUGAGACAGACAGAUGAGAAAAAAUCCUGCUGCUUGUCACAAGAGGAGCUGCUGGUCCAAAAAGACAACUUGAAGAGGACUAUACAGUCCAUUACUAUUAGUCUACUUGUGAACAGAAAAAGGUUUGCACGUUGUUAUGGACUUUUGAAGCUGGAACACUGGCCAAUUUUACAAGGCUCCCAUCUGUUCACUAUUGAUAAAGAGGUGUUGAAGAAUGCUCCCAGAUAAUGCUGCCGAGUUGAGGUCUGGACUAAUUACGUAAGUGCCACUGUUCUAUUGUGUUUUGUGAUACGUUAUUACUUCUGUAGACACUAGAUGUUGUCAGAAGAAUGAACUAAAGAUAAAGCAACAGUUUCCUGUUGCGAGAUAUCUUCGAGAUGAAAAAGAGCCCUUGUAAUGUGUACAGCACACUGUAAGCUGUUGACUGACUUCAUAGUACGCCGAUGUUGAAAAACUCACUUUAUUGUUUUUCAUCUUUAGCACUCGUUACACAUGUUAUUUAAUAGAUUUCUUUAUUGGCAUGCCGAGUUGGAGUCUGGAUGUGUUAGAUUGAAGUUUUUAGACGAAUGAUAAAGAGAAUGCAACAAUUGCCUGCUGGUGAGCUAUCUCGGAGAUGAAGAACGGCCCUUCAAGCUGUUCACUGACUUCAUAGUACGCCGAGUCUAUCUUUGUGCACAAAAACAAGACGAAUAAUUAUAAAUACAUGCCACCGUGGGGAUGUGAAGACACGGACAUGAUAAUGAAUAAUGAGAGACAUAAUGUAGCUGAACAGAAAUUAAUAUAUAUAUAUCUUGUUCUUGUCUUCUUUGUCUUUGAAUUGUGACCUUUUGAAGCAUGA